rnacentral:rRNA from 1 species
UACAGGGGGUGCAAACGUUGCUCGGAAUUAUUGGGCGUAAAGCGCGCGUAGGCGGCUACUUAAGUCGGAUGUGAAAGCCCUUGGCUCAACUGAGGAAGUGCACCCGAAACUGAGUGGCUAGAGUACGAAAGAGGGUCGCGGAACUCCCGGUGUAGAGGUGAAAUUCGUAGAUAUCGGGAGGAACACCGGUGGCGAAGGCGGCGACCUGGGUCGAUACUGACGCUGAUGCGCGAAAGCGUGGGGAGCAAACAGG